CCUACGGGAGGCAGCAGUGGGGAAUUUUCCGCAAUGGGCGAAAGCCUGACGGAGCAAUCUCGCGUGAGGGAUGACGGCCUAUGGGUUGUAAACCUCUUUUUUCAGGGAGGAAACCAAUGACGUGUACCUGAAGAAUAAGCAUCGGCUAACUCCGUGCCAGCAGCCGCGGUAAU
rnacentral:rRNA from 1 species